UCUGUUUCUCCAGGAAAAGAUUCAGACCCAUUUGAAGACUCUGCGGGAAGAGAGAGAAAAGCUGCUGGGAUUUAAAGUGACUGGAGAGAAGAGAAGCCAGGAAUACCUGGGAAAGACACAAACUGAGAGGCAGAAGAUUGUGUCUGAAUUUCAGGAACUGCAGCAGUUCCUGGAGGAACAAGAGCGACUCCUGUUGGCCUAGCUGGAAAAUCUGGACAAGGAGAUUGUGAAGAUACAGAAUGAAAAUGUCAGUAAACUAUCCCAGGAGAUUUCCUGUCUCAGUGAGCUGAUCAGUGAGCUGGAGGGGAAGUACCAGAAGCCAUCAGGUGAAUUCCUGCAGGAUGACAGAAGCACCUUGAGCAGGUACGUGGCCCUCUCACUCCCAUGGGCGGCGGAUAUCAGAGGCAGGGGAAGGCAAUGCCUUCCCAAACUACCAAAUGUGGCCCCACCCACACUCUACCCCCAGCAAUCUCCCUGCUUCGGCACAGCUCCCUCCAGCCUCUGGCCGC
rnacentral:lncRNA from 1 species